GACGAACGCUGGCGGCGUGCUUAACACAUGCAAGUCGAACGGAAAGGCCCUGCUUUUGUGGGGUGCUCGAGUGGCGAACGGGUGAGUAACACGUGAGUAACCUGCCCUUGACUUUGGGAUAACUUCAGGAAACUGGGGCUAAUACCGGAUAGGAGCUCCUGCUGCAUGGUGGGGGUUGGAAAGUUUCGGCGGUUGGGGAUGGACUCGCGGCUUAUCAGCUUGUUGGUGGGGUAGUGGCUUACCAAGGCUUUGACGGGUAGCCGGCCUGAGAGGGUGACCGGCCACAUUGGGACGGAGAUACGGCCCGGACUCCUACGGGAGGCAGCAGUGGGGAAUAUUGCACAAUGGGCGGAAGCCUGAUGCAGCAACGCCGCGUGCGGGAUGACGGCCUUCGGGUUGUAAACCGCUUUCGCCUGUGACGAGGCGUGAGUGACGGUAAUGGGUAAAGAAGCACCGGCUAACUACGUG
rnacentral:rRNA from 1 species